rnacentral:rRNA from 1 species
AUGGAGCGGUACGAGGUGAUCAAGGACAUAGGGUCGGGCAACUUCGGGGUGGCCAAGCUGGUCCGGGACGUCAGGACCAAGGAGCUCUUCGCCGUCAAGUUCAUCGAGAGGGGGCACAAGAUUGAUGAGAAUGUUCAGAGGGAGAUUAUGAACCACAGAUCUCUGAGGCAUCCGAACAUUGUUAGAUUCAAAGAGGUUGUGCUAACUCCCACACAUUUGGCCAUAGUUAUGGAAUACGCUGCUGGCGGUGAGCUAUUUGAAAGGAUCUGUGGUUCUGGAAGAUUUAGCGAGAAUGAGGCUAGGUUCUUCUUCCAACAAUUGCUUUCAGGAGUUAGCUAUUGCCAUUCCAUGCAAAUAUGUCAUAGAGAUUUGAAACUAGAAAAUACGCUCCUGGAUGGGAGCGAAGCACCCCGGCUCAAGAUAUGUGAUUUCGGUUACUCCAAGUCCUCUGUGUUGCACUCUCAGCCAAAAUCGACCGUCGGUACUCCUGCCUACAUCGCCCCCGAGGUCCUUUCUAGAAGGGAAUAUGAUGGAAAGGUCGCUGAUGUUUGGUCCUGUGGAGUAACUCUAUAUGUGAUGCUUGUGGGCGCUUAUCCUUUUGAGGACCCAGACGAACCGAAGAAUUUCCGCAAGACAAUUACUAGGAUACUCAGUGUACAAUACUCAGUACCUGAUUAUGUCCGGAUUUCAAUGGAGUGCAGACAUUUGCUGUCCCGGAUUUUCGUGGCAAACCCUGAGCAACGAAUAACCAUCCAAGAGAUCAAGAACCACCCGUGGUUCCUCAAGAAUCUGCCGAUCGAGAUGACCGACGAGUACCAGAUGAGCCUGCACAUGGUCGGCGUCAACGCUCCCCCGCAGACCCUGGAGGAGAUCAUGGCCAUCAUCCAGGAGGCGCGGAUACCGGGCGACGGUUCCAAGUUCGCCGGGCAGCUGUCAGUGCCUGGGCUAGGGAGCAUGGAGCUCGACGACAUAGAUGAUGUCGAUGUGGACGUCGAGGACAGCGGUGACUUUGUGUGCGCGUUGUGA